GUANUGAGACACGGACCCAGGCCCUAUGGGGCGCAGCAGGCGAGAAAACUUUGCAAUGUGCGAAAGCACGACAAGGUUAGUCCGAGUGAUUUCUGCUAAAGAGAUCUUUUGCAAGUUCUAAAACCACUAGUGAAUAAGGGGUGGGCAAGUUCUGGUGUCAGCCGCCGCGGUAAAACCAGCACCUCAAGUGGUCAGGAGGANUAUUGGGCCUAAAGCAUCCGUAGCCGGCUCUGUUAGUUUUCGGUUAAAUCCAUGCGCUCAACGCAUGGGCUGUCGGAAAUACUGCAUAGCUAGGGAGUGGGAGAGGUAGACGGUACUCGGUAGGAAGGGGUAAAAUCCUUUGAUCUAUCGAUGACCACCUGUGGCGAAGGCGGUCUACCAGAACACGUUCGACGGUGAGGGAUGAAAGCUGGGGGAGCAAACCGGAUUAGAUACCCGGGUAGUCCCAGCUGUAAACGAUGCAGACUCGAUGAUGCAUUGGCAUAUAGCCAGUGCAGUGUCGCAGGGAAGCCGUUAAGUCUGCCGCCUGGGAAGUACGUACGCAAGUAUGAAACUUAAAGGAAUUGGCGGGGGAGCACCACAAGGGGUGAAGCCUGCGGUUCAAUUGGAGUCAACGCCAGAAAUCUUACCCGGAGAGACAGCAGAAUGAAGGUCAAGCUGAAGACUUUACCAGACAAGCUGAGAGGUGGUGCAUGGCCGUCGCCAGCUCGUGCCGUGAGAUGUCCUGUUAAGUCAGGUAACGAGCGAGAUCCCUGCCAUUAGUUGCUAUCAUUAUUCUCAGGAAUAGUGGGGCGAACUAGUGGGACUGCCGUUGUUAAAACGGAGGAAGGAAGGGGCUACGGCAGGUCAGUAUGCCCCGAAACUCUGGGGCCACACGCGGGCUGCAAUGGUAGUGACAAUGAGUUCCAAACUCGAAAGGGUGUGGCAAUCUCUAAACACUACCACAGUUAUGACUGAGGGCUGCAACUCGCCCUCACGAAUAUGGAAUCCCUAGUAACCGCGUGUCAUUNCCGCGCGGUGAAUACGUCCCUGCUCCUUGCACACACCGCCCGUCGUUUCAUCGAAGUUUGCUUUUAGCGAGGUGAUGUUUAAUUGGCAUUAUCGAACUUG
rnacentral:rRNA from 1 species